AACGAACGCUGGCGGCGUGCCUAACACAUGCAAGUCGAACGGGCACUUCGGUGCUAGUGGCAGACGGGUGAGUAACGCGUGGGAACGUGCCUUUCGGUUCGGAAUAAUCCAGGGAAACUUGGACUAAUACCGGAUACGCCCUUCGGGGAAGAUUAUCGCGAAAGAUCGGCCCGCGUCUGAUUAGCUAGUUGGUGAGGUAAAGGCUCACCAAGGCGACGAUCAGUAGCUGGUCUGAGAGGAUGAUCAGCCACACUGGGACUGAGACACGGCCCAGACUCCUACGGGAGGCAGCAGUGGGAAUAUGGACAAUGGGCGAAAGCCUGAUCCAGCCAUGCCGCGUGAGUGAUGAAGGCCUUAGGGUUGUAAAGCUCUUUGUCC
rnacentral:rRNA from 1 species